rnacentral:tRNA from 1 species
CGGCGUGUAGCACAGCCUGGCAGUGCACCUGGUUUGGGACCAGGGGGUCGUCCGUUCGAAUCGGACCACGCCGACCA